rnacentral:rRNA from 1 species
GAUGAACGCUGGCGGCGUGCCUAAUACAUGCAAGUCGAGCGAACAGACGAGGAGCUUGCUCCUCUGACGUUAGCGGCGGACGGGUGAGUAACACGUGGAUAACCUACCUAUAAGACUGGGAUAACUUCGGGAAACCGGAGCUAAUACCGGAUAAUAUAUUGAACCGCAUGGUUCAAUAGUGAAAGACGGUUUUGCUGUCACUUAUAGAUGGAUCCGCGCCGCAUUAGCUAGUUGGUAAGGUAACGGCUUACCAAGGCAACGAUGCGUAGCCGACCUGAGAGGGUGAUCGGCCACACGGGAACUGAGACACGGGCCAGACUCCUACGGGAGGCAACAGUGGGGAAUCUUCCGAAAGGGGCGAAAGCCUGACGGGGCAACGCCGCGGGGGUGAUGAAGGUCUUCGGAUCGUAAAACUCUGUUAUUAGGGAAAAAAAAAUGUGUAAGUAACUAUGCCCGUCUUGACGGUACCUAAUCAGAAAGCCCCGGCUAACUACGU